rfam:Angomonas deanei Cont10584, whole genome shotgun sequence.
GCGAGUGUAGCUCAAUGGCAGAGCUGAAGCCUUCCAAGCUUAUGACGAGGGUUCGAUUCCCUUCACUCGCU